rnacentral:rRNA from 1 species
CAGUAGCCGCGGGAAUACGGAGGGUGCAAGCGUUAAUCGGAAUUACUGGGCGUAAAGCGCACGCAGGCGGUCUGACAAGUCAGAUGUGAAAUCCCCGGGCUUAACCUGGGAACUGCAUUUGAAACUGUCAGGCUGGAGUCUUGUAGAGGGGGGUGGAAUUCCAGGUGUAGCGGUGAAAUGCGUAGAGAUCUGGAGGAAUACCGGUGGCGAAGGCGGCCCCCUGGACAAAGACUGACGCUCAGGUGCGAAAGCGUGGGGAGCAAACAGGAUUAGAUACCCGGGUUCCCUGUCUCUUAUACAC